rnacentral:rRNA from 1 species
GACGAACCGUACGAACGUUAUUCGGAAUCACUGGGCUUAAAGGGUGCGUAGGCGGCGCAGUAAGUUGGGUGUGAAAUCCCUCGCUUAACCGAGGAAUUGCGCCCAAAACUACUGUGCUCGAGGGAGGUAGAGGUGAGCGGAACUUAGGGUGGAGCGGUGAAAUGCGUUGAUAUCCUAAGGAACACCGGUGGCGAAAGCGGCUCACUGGACCUCUUCUGACGCUGAGGCACGAAGCUAGGGUAGCAAACGGG